ACUCCUACGGGAGGCAGCAGUGGGGAAUAUUGGACAAUGGGCGCAAGCCUGAUCCAGCAAUGCCGCGUGAGUGAUGAAGGCCUUCGGGUCGUAAAGCUCUUUUACCCGGGUAUGAUAAUGACAGUACCGGGAGAAUAAGCUCCGGCUAACUCCGUGCCAGCAGCCGCGGUAAUACGGAGGAGCUAGCGUUGUUCGGAAUUACUGGGCGUAAAGCGCGCGUAGGCGGUUAUUCAAGUCAGAGGUGAAAGCCCGGGGCUCAACCCGGAACUGCCUUUGAAACUAGAUGACUAGAAUCUUGGAGAGGUCAGUGGAAUUCCGAGUGUAGAGGUGAAAUUCGUAGAUAUUCGGAAGAACACCAGUGGCGAAGGCGACUGACUGGACAAGUAUUGACGCUGAGGUGCGAAAGCGUGGGAGCAAACAGGAUUAGAUACCCUGGUAGGAUAGCG
rnacentral:rRNA from 1 species